GCGGUUUUUUGCAACUGACGGAACAGGUGGGCAACCACAGGGGAGCAAAGGACUUAAGAAAAUUAAGCAGUGCAGAACUGCUUUUUGUCGACCGUCUGGGCAGUCUGU
rnacentral:ncRNA from 2 species